rnacentral:rRNA from 1 species
GAAAUCCUACGGGGCGCAGCAGUGGGGAAUAUUGCACAAUGGGCGAAAGCCUGAUGCAGCAACGCCGCGUGAAGGAAGAAGGGUUUCGGCUCGUAAACUUCUAUCAACAGGGACGAAGGAAAUGACGGUACCUGAAUAAGAAGCCCCGGCUAACUACGUGCCAGCAGCCGCGGGAAUACGUAGGGGGCAAGCGUUAUCCGGAAUUACUGGGUGUAAAGGGUGAGUAGGCGGCAUGGUAAGCCAGAGGUGAAAGACUUGGGCUUAAACCAAGG